UACAGAGGGUGCGAGCGUUGUCCGGAAUCACUGGGCGUAAAGGGCGCGUAGGCGGUCUGGUAAGCGUGUGGUGAAAGCUCGGGGCUCAACCCCGAGUCGGCCGUGCGAACUGCUGGACUGGAGCAUGUCAGAGGCAGGCGGAAUUCCGGGAGUAGCGGUGGAAUGCGUAGAGAUCCGGAAGAACACCGGUGGCGAAGGCGGCCUGCUGGGACAUGGCUGACGCUGAGGCGCGACAGCGUGGGGAGCAAACAGG
rnacentral:rRNA from 1 species